rnacentral:rRNA from 1 species
GGGUAGUAAACUUCAAACCUAAAGAAUUUGGCGGUUCUUAAACUUACUAGAGGAACCUGUCCUGUAAUCGAUAGUCCACGAUUCUAUUUACCUAUCCUUGUGAUCAGCUUAUAUACCGCCGUUAAGUGAACUAAAUAAAUAGUUUCUCUAAAUUAGUUAGCUAAGAAGAUCAGGUCAAGGUGUAGCUUAUGGGUAGGAAGAGAUGGGUUACAAUAAUAUUUUAUACGGAUUUACUUUUUUAAUAUGGUGCUGAAGGUGGAUUUNUNNNUAAAUUGAUGAAUUUUUGAAGAGGGCUCUUAANAAUGUACNCAU